UAGUGCUGCAAUGUAAACAUUGCAGUUUCUCUGGAACUGCAAUGUAUUAACAUUGCAGCAUUA
rnacentral:miRNA from 1 species